GAUGAACGCUGGCGGCGUGCCUAAUACAUGCAAGUCGAGCGAACAGACGAGGAGCUUGCUCCUCUGACGUUAGCGGCGGACGGGUGAGUAACACGUGGAUAACCUACCUAUAAGACUGGGAUAACUUCGGGAAACCGGAGCUAAUACCGGAUAAUAUAUUGAACCGCAUGGUUCAAUAGUGAAAGACGGUUUUGCUGUCACUUAUAGAUGGAUCCGCGCCGCAUUAGCUAGUUGGUAAGGUAACGGCUUACCAAGGCAACGAUGCGUAGCCGACCUGAGAGGGUGAUCGGCCACACUGGAACUGAGACACGGUCCAGAAUCCGACGGGAGGCAGCAGUAGGGAAGCUUCCGCAAUGGGCGAAAGCCUGACGGAGCAACGCCGCGUGAGUGAUGAAGGACUUCGGAUCGUAAAAAGCUGUUAUUAGGGAAGAACAAAUGUGUAAGUAACUAUGCACGUCUUGACGGUACCUAAUCAGAAAGCCACGGCUAACUACGU
rnacentral:rRNA from 1 species